rnacentral:misc_RNA from 1 species
CUCAUCGGAGGGAGCCCAAAACCUCAAGACUCGUUAAGAGAGAGUCUCAAACCUCACAGAAAAAUUGAGAUAAUUUUGCUUGAUAUUUUAUUCAUAAUCUAAUCUUUUUAUAAAGAGAUUAGAUUAAAAUAAAAAAAAACAAACUGUUAUAUUCACGAGUCAAGGAUUGAGUCACGGGGCGAUGAACUACGAAGCCUUCUUCAAAACCUA